rnacentral:misc_RNA from 1 species
ACAAACUUGGUCAUUUAGAGGAAGUAAAAGUCGUAACAAGGUCUCCGUUGGUGAACCAGCGGAGGGAUCAUUACCGAGUUUACAACUCCCAAACCCCAAUGUGAACGUUACCAAUCUGUUGCCUCGGCGGGUUAAUUCUUUCUGCCCCGGGCGCGUCGCAGCCCCGGACCAAGGCGCCCGCCGGAGGACCAAAUUGCAAACUCUUUUUGUAUAUCCCAUCGCGGAUGAUUAUAUUCUGAGCUUUCUCGGCGCUCCUAGCGAGCGUUUCGAAAAUGAAUCAAAACUUUCAACAACGGAUCUCUUGGUUCUGGCAUCGAUGAAGAACGCAGC